rnacentral:sRNA from 1 species
AGAUCUACUAGAUUUUGUGGGCCUCUUUCAGCCAUUGAACGGCUAUUGUUCAAUUUGUAGAGCACCUUUUUAUGUGACUGUAGUGUGAAGUUCUAUUCUAGAAAGACAUUCAUUUCACAUAUAACGCAGAAAAUAUUCCGCCGGGUACUUCAGGUCAACAGAUUCUGGGCUACAAUUUGGCGGUCCGGUACGGUUCCUGCUCUACGCCAGACGUGGCUAUGGAGGGUGACGCUCUGCUGCUCACCGUCUUGGUCUACACCUACCGCGUCAAUCUGACAUCCAACUGGAGGUUCGUCUCCAACAUCACAAUGAAUGGCGAAAUAUUCACUCCGUUUGCCAUGACGACGAACAUCCAUUGCUACGGCUUGAUUCUGGUGGACGCCCUAGGCAUAGACCAGACGUACGACGUCUCGUGUAGCCAGGACGAGACGUACAUGUACUUCUACGUCAACCGGGCGGCCA